rnacentral:rRNA from 1 species
UACGUAGGUGGCAAGCGUUGUCCGGAAUUACUGGGUGUAAAGGGCGUGUAGGCGGGAACAUAAGUCGGAUGUGAAAUUCCAGGGCUCAACCCUGGCGCUGCAUCUGAAACUAUGUUUCUUGAGUGCUGGAGAGGAAAGCGGAAUUCCUAGUGUAGCGGUGAAAUGCGUAGAUAUUAGGAGGAACACCAGUGGCGAAGGCGGCUUUCUGGACAGUAACUGACGCUGAGGCGCGAAAGCGUGGGGAGCAAACAGG